AUUGAACGCUGGCGGCAGGCUUAACACAUGCAAGUCGAGCGAGCGGCGGACGGGUGAGUAAUGUCUGGGAAACUGCCUGAUGGAGGGGGAUAACUACUGGAAACGGUAGCUAAUACCGCAUACCAUCAGAUGUGCCCAGAUGGGAUUAGCUAGUAGGUGGGGUAAUGGCUCACCUAGGCGACGAUCCCUAGCUGGUCUGAGAGGAUGACGAGGCACGCUGUAACGGAGACACGGUCCAGACUCCUACGGGAGGCAGCAGUGGGGAAUAUUGGACAAUGGGGGGAAGCCUGAUGCGGCCAGGCCGCGUGUGUGAAGAAGGCAUUCGGGUUGUAAAGCACUGUCAGCGGGGAGGCGUUACUCGCAGAAGAAGCAACGGCUAACUCCGUGCCAGCAGCCGCGGUAAUUC
rnacentral:rRNA from 1 species